AACACAUCCCACGGGAGCCCGUGAGCCGGGCUGAGAGGAAGCGGCCAACGCUUCGACCGUCGAACCUGAUCUGGGUCAUGCCAGCGAAGGAAGGUAGACAGAAUGAACA
rnacentral:ncRNA from 2 species